UACAGAGGGUGCGAGCGUUAAUCGGAAUUACUGGGCGUAAAGCGCACGUAGGCGGCUUGGUAUGUCGGGUGUGAAAUCCCCGGGCUCAACCUGGGAACUGCAUCCGAAACUGCCUUGCUAGAGUAUGGGAGAGGGAAGUGGAAUUUCCGGUGUAGCGGUGAAAUGCGUAGAUAUCGGAAGGAACAUCAGUGGCGAAGGCGACUUCCCGGACCAAUACUGACGCUCAGGUGCGAAAGCGUGGGGAGCAAACAGG
rnacentral:rRNA from 1 species